GCGGAAUUGGUCCAUCGGCAGGACGGCAGCUUCCCAAGCUGCAAAGGCGGGUUCGACUCCCGUAUUUCGCUCCA
rnacentral:tRNA from 1 species